AACGCAAAACAGUUUAGGCCACUCCUGCUCACACACACAGGAAGUGAAAUGGAGAAACGCAACUGAAGAACAGAAAAAAAAGAUCACACCUUUGGAGCUCUAGGUCACUUAUAGCUCACAGAGGCUUUCACUGCUGCCAAAACAAGGACUGCUGGGUAAUGGCUGCUCUCAGGGCUUUUCUCACUCUUUCUGCCUGCCUCCUGCUGGGUCAUCAAACGUUUGCUAAAAACGACGCUCCCUGCCAGCUCUCCAGAUGGAACAACGGCUACAACACCUUUGUCAAGCGCCACAUUCGCUCUGGCACUCCGACUUCUCUCAACCAGAACGAAUGGGAGAAGUAUAUCAGGAAUAACGGGGGCUGUGACAGACCCACGCAGUCCUUCCUCCAACCAAAAGACCUGGAGAGGGUGAAGGAUGUGUGCACAUACAAAGGGGGAACGAGGUACAAGGAGAACCUGUGCAUCAGCCGGGAGUCCUUCACUUUUGUCACGGUGAGGAGUGAACAGGGGACGUGCGGCAUCAGGAGUGUCCGAGAGGAGAACAAACAUCUGAUCUUGGCCUGCGAUGAGCUGGACAAUCAGUGCCUGCCAGUCCAUUUUGAGGGAAACCCUGAUAAUUUAAAGCCAAAUAACAACGCCAAAGGCUGCCAGGACCCACAAACUAGAGAUCAUGCUCCCAGCUUUAAAAUGCCGUGGCUCUGGUUGUUAUCUGCUCUUCUUGUUAUUAUUUGUGGCAAUUUUUUUUUUUUUACUUGAGAAACUUUAUAAGACAAUGAAGCUUUUAUGAGAGGACAUUCUCUCCUGAACACAUUUCAGCAAAACCUUUUAAUGUCUUGAAAUUUAAUUUGGAAAGUUUUAAAAAUUCACCAUCAGAUCAACAAUGUAUUUUUGGGAACAAUUCACUUUUUUUUAAAUGUAUCUUUGUAACAAAGGUUCCUACUGUUAUAAACUUGUGCCAAUGUAUGUGUCACUGUUGUAUGUAUUUUACAUUAAAGGGGCACAAAUACAAUUACCAAAGAAAAGGGAUUCAAUAAAAGAUUCAUCUGCACUAA